rnacentral:siRNA from 1 species
ACUAUUACUCUCGUAGCGCUCC